AACUCAAUGAGAAGGUGGCCCAGCUGUAU
rnacentral:piRNA from 1 species